rnacentral:rRNA from 1 species
GACAGAGGGUGCAAACGUUGCUCGGAAUCACUGGGCGUAAAGGGCGUGUAGGCGGGCAGAUAAGUCGGGCGUGAAAUCCCCAGGCUCAACCUGGGAACUGCACUCGAAACUGUUUGUCUUGAGUAUCGGAGAGGAAAGCGGAAUACCUGGUGUAGAGGUGAAAUUCGUAGAUAUCAGGUGGAACACCAGUGGCGAAGGCGGUCUCCUGGCCCACUCUUGACGCUGAGGCGCGAAAGCUGGGGGAGCGAACGGG